rnacentral:tRNA from 1 species
UUCAAGUUAGAGCUUGGUAGAAAGCGCUUCAUUUACACUGGAGAGGGUUAUCGUGCAAUUCGAUUAAUUUGAU